CGGACCGUGAAGUCCCACUGCCCGGCCUCGGGGGCGGCCAGCGCCUGGUCGCCGAAGUAGCCGCCGCCGGCCAGGACUCCGAGGACGACCGGCUCGCCGUACUCCCCGGGGUGCACCCUCUCGGCCUUGCCGUGCGCGACCAGCACCACCUGGUCGGCCGGUUGGCCCACCUCCACCAGGACGUCGCCCGGCACGAACUCCCGCUGGACGAAGCGGUCCGCCAGCGUCCGGAGCACCUCGGCGUCCUCGAACCCCCGCAGCAGCGGCAGCUCGCCCAGCUCCGCCGGGAUGACCCGCACCUCCGCGCCGGUGGUGAAGAACUCCACCCGGCCGUCCCCGAGCGUGUGCGUCAGACGGCGGUUGACCCGGUAGGUGCCACCGGAGAGCUGCACCCACGGCAGCAGACGCAGCAGCCACCGAGAGGUGAUCCCCUGCAUCUGGGGAACGGACUUGGUCGUGGUCGCCAGAUUCCGGGCGGCCUCGGUGCCCAGACUCAGCCGGUCCGGUGGA
rnacentral:antisense_RNA from 1 species